CCUACGGGGGGCAGCAGUGAGGAAUAUUGGUCAAUGGACGAGAGUCUGAACCAGCCAAGUAGCGUGCAGGAUGACGGCCCUAUGGGUUGUAAACUGCUUUUAUGCGGGGAUAAAGUGAGGGACGUGUCCUUCAUUGCAGGUACCGCAUGAAUAAGGACCGGCUAAUUCCGUGCCAGCAGCCGCGGUAAUACGGAAGGUCCGGGCGUUAUCCGGAUUUAUUGGGUUUAAAGGGAGCGUAGGCCGUGGAUUAAGCGUGUUGUGAAAUGUAGACGCUCAACGUCUGACUUGCAGCGCGAACUGGUCCACUUGAGUGUGCACAACGCAGGCGGAAUUCGUCGUGUAGCGGUGAAAUGCUUAGAUAUGACGAAGAACCCCGAUUGCGAAGGCAGCUUGCGGGGGCACGACUGACGCUGAAGCUCGAAAGUGCGGGUAUCGAACAGGAUUAGAUACCCUUGUAGUC
rnacentral:rRNA from 1 species